CUGAUAUUAGGAGUGUGACGGAAAUCACACGUGGCAAGAAGUCAAUUGUUUUUUUCCUAAUAAAACUCCAAAAACAUUAAACAAACAACCAUCGGGCAAUCCGCCCAUAAAUGCAGUCCCUACCAAAAGCAAAAAAGCAAUACCAUCAAUCUCAUCCGAUCUUCGACCAAGGUAGGACCCAAAACAACCGCUGUGGAAAGUGACCAGAUCUAUAUCGCAGCUACUAUAAACAUGCCUAAAAUCAUCCGUUGACAGGCCCUCGCCUUCUAUACCGAUCUACCUCCUCUUGAAUCGACAACGGUCCAUCCUCUACCCAACAUUCGUCUCACUCCCGGAGGAACACUUCCCAAGCCAACAGGUGCUCAGCUCUGUUCCCCCAUCGUUUAAUAUGAUAAAAUUUAAAAUGCUCAAAACCUAAUAACAUUUGUCGAGCAUCCCAAAUAUAUCCACUGAUUUUCGUCUGUCAAUCCCCGCAUGUUUGAGUUUGGAAAUGACCGCUGCUGAAUCCCCUUCUAGCUCCACCCGUCGAAGCCCUAGAUCCCUGGCAAAUUGAACAGCAAGCACACAAGCCAAUGCCUCCGCAGCCGCCGCAUCAGGUAUAUGCUUUUUCCAAAGAUAGGUCGAUCCUAGCAUAUAACCCUCUGAGUCCCUAACAACCACUCAUGUACUUGCAGAAUGGAGAUGACCAUAGAAUCCAG
rnacentral:lncRNA from 1 species